CUUUUUAAGACCUGCAGUGACCUGCUGCUACCAGAACUGACUCGCUUCAAAGUGACGGAUGAAACCCAUAUGGAGAUAUUCCUGGGGUGGGUAGGCCAGUUGGAAGACAGAGUGUUUACACCUGAGAGAGGACUUGAGGAAAAGCAGUUGAAAUACCAUUAGUUAACAGAUUGCCCAAUGAAGUCGAUGACAACUGUGAUAACAAGUUACUCACUAUCACAGCGUCUCCAAGAGAUGAACAGUGGAUGAUGCUUCCAAAGCACAGAUGUCCCUCUCCUCCUCAACCUUCUCUCCCCAGAAAGAUGUCAACACUGUGGAGAUUGUGCUAUGAAGAUACCUGGUGUGGCAUUGCAAUAGAUGAAAUAUUAAGGGCAAUUCAACAAUUUUCUGAACAAAUACAUGGAUUUAACUUGAAGUUGAAUUUAAUUUGACUUCAAGAAAAAUUAUAUUUCUGGUCCUCCUAUGAUC
rnacentral:lncRNA from 1 species